CAAAAAGUGUUCCAAAAUCCGGACGUCAAAAUGACGCGACAGUUUCUGCGUAUGGGGGCGGGAACCAGCGACGUUUUUCAAUCUGUCCAAUCAGCAGCCUCCAUCGUUGCCGGAAGUAUGUUUUGCUUGUUUUUUAUUUGCAAAGGGACCGUAUAGCAAGUGACAUAAAGACAUAAACGUCUGAUAAAAGAACAAUUGUAUGUCGCUGAGAGUAAAAGUGUUUUGUAAUCUUUUAACGCAAGAGAAGUUGAAGCGCACUUGAAAGUAAGCACAAAUAUUUUAAUUUUUUGAGUCAUAGCCACACACGUGCCAAUUCCGCAUCCAAUCCAUUUCGCUACGCACACUUAAGAUGGCGGCUACGUGAAAACAGCUGAUCGGUCCUGUGGCCCGCACUUGGUGUAUAUUUGUCCGUAACGUGAGUAGUUGAAAUCUUGCCGUACGUGGUACUUUCGCCCGAGAAGAAUUCUGGAAGCUGUGAACAUCAUGAAGACUGCGAAAGCGUAGUGCUCGGAUACGGAAGAAUCGAUGAAGGUUGGAAGGCAUCUCAACAGAUAGCUGGAAGACGGGAGGUGGAAAGUUGGGCGGCCUAGAGGGUCGAGUGAUCGCCGUGCUCGCCCAUACCGGCCCAGCCUCCGCCCCUGCGGAUUUUUUUCACGGCGAUGCUGAGGAGGACAGUAGUAGUGAGGAGUCCGCUGAAGUGCCCCCUGCCCCACCAGCAGCUGCGCGCGUCUCGGUGGGCACGGAGCCGGGGACCAGUGGCACUGCACCUCGGCAGCAGCCCCGCAGGCCACCCCGACUUCAGGUCCUCACGGACGCCGCAUCAAGGACGGCCGCGGACUAUGCCCGGCAGAGCCGGUUAGCUGAGGCGGCAAACGCGGAGGCCGCAAGCUUCCACCAGCAGUUGCUGCAGCAACAUCGGCAGCUGGUGGAAGAGCAGCGAGCGACGCGGCAAGUCCUCGAGCAGCUGGUGGCCGAGAUGCGUGGUUCGCGAGAGGCGAACACCCUCAUUGCGACCACGCUGCGCCAGCUGCUGGCUGCCCUGGCCGACCUGCGCGCGCCGCCUCAGCAUUAAGGGGCAGCUUUUUUUUUUUUUUGCCAUAUCAUCCUUUAGUGCUUUGUUAGGUACAAGUGUCACCUAUCUAUGCAUGUUUUUUUUUUUUUUAUGCAGCACUAAAGGAUGAUAUGGCUGUUUUCCGUAAUUUCUGUCCCUAAUCAUAUUUUUUUU